rnacentral:rRNA from 1 species
UACGUAGGGUGCGAGCGUUAAUCGGAAUUACUGGGCGUAAAGCGUGCGCAGGCGGUUUUGUAAGCCAGAUGUGAAAUCCCCGGGCUUAACCUGGGAAUGGCAUUUGGGACUGCUAGGCUGGAGUGUGGCAGAGGAGACUGGAAUUCCCGGUGUAGCAGUGAAAUGCGUAGAUAUCGGGAGGAAUACCGAUGGCGAAGGCAAGUCUCUGGGCUGACACUGACGCUCAUGCACGAAAGCGUGGGGAGCAAACAGG